rnacentral:rRNA from 1 species
GACGAACGCUGGCGGCGUGCUUAACACAUGCAAGUCGAACGGAAAGGCCCUGCUUUUGUGGGGUGCUCGAGUGGCGAACGGGUGAGUAACACGUGAGUAACCUGCCCUUGACUUUGGGAUAACUUCAGGAAACUGGGGCUAAUACCGGAUAGGAGCUCCUGCUGCAUGGUGGGGGUUGGAAAGUUUCGGCGGUUGGGGAUGGACUCGCGGCUUAUCAGCUUGUUGGUGGGGUAGUGGCUUACCAAGGGUUUGACGGGUAGCCGGCCUGAGAGGGUGACCGGGCACAUUGGGACUGAGAUACGGACCAGACUCGUACGGGAGGCAGAAGGGGGGAAUAUUGCACAAUGGGCGGAAGCCUGAUGCAGCAACGCCGCGUGCGGGAUGACGGCCUUCGGGUUGUAAACCGCUUUCGACUGUGACGAAGCGUGAGUGACGGUAAUGGGUAAAGAAGCACCGGCUAACUACGUG